GAGCGCUACUAUAGCAAGUUGAAUGAACUAGUUCAUCAUCGGUUAACCAAAGUUAAGUGAGGUUUCGCGUGGUUGGUAUAAGGAUGGGUGAUCAUCUGGGAAAUCGCAUGCUGCUGGCU
rnacentral:rRNA from 1 species